rnacentral:rRNA from 1 species
CCUACGGGGGGCAGCAGUGAGGAAUAUUGGCCAAUGGUCGGGAGACUGAACCAGCCAAGCCGCGUGAGGGAUGAAGGUACAGAGUAUCGUAAACCUCUUUUGUCAGGGAACAAAGGCGGGGACGUGUCCCCGGAUGAGUGUACCUGAAGAAAAAGCAUCGGCUAACUCCGUGCCAGCAGCCGCGGUAAUACGGAGGAUGCGAGCGUUAUCCGGAUUUAUUGGGUUUAAAGGGGGCGCAGACGGCGAUGCAAGCCAGGAGUGAAAGCCCGGGGCCCAACCCCGGGACUGCUCUUGGAACUGCGUGG